rnacentral:rRNA from 1 species
CCUACGGGGGGCUGCAGUGAGGAAUAUUGGUCAAUGGACGAGAGUCUGAACCAGCCAAGUAGCGUGAAGGAUGACUGCCCUAUGGGUUGUAAACUUCUUUUAUAUGGGAAUAAAACGUUCCACGUGUGGGAUUUUGUAUGUACCAUAUGAAUAAGGAUCGGCUAACUCCGUGCCAGCAGCCGCGGUAAUACGGAGGAUCCGAGCGUUAUCCGGAUUUAUUGGGUUUAAAGGGAGCGUAGGUGGAUUGUUAAGUCAGUUGUGAAAGUUUGCGGCUCAACCGUAAAAUUGCAGUUGAAACUGGCAGUCUUGAGUACAGUAGAGGUGGGCGGAAUUCGUGGUGUAGCGGUGAAAUGCUUAGAUAUCACGAAGAACUCCGAUCGCGAAGGCAGUUCACUGGACUGCAACUGACACUGAGGCUCGAAAGUGUGGGUAUCAAACAGGAUUAGAUACCCGUGUAGUC